rnacentral:lncRNA from 1 species
AGAAGAAACUACUAGCAGCAAAAUCAUUGCCCUUUCAGGGUUUAUAUCCACAGAGCCAAUCUAAAUAGAUUGUUGGCUGAGCAGAACAAACGCAAUAGAGUUGGGAAGCAUGGCUGCUAAACAAGACCAGUGCUCUGACUUUGGUCUUUGUCUUCCUUAUGCUAUAGGCUAAGUUUAUGGUAGUUUGUAUUUCUAUUUACUUUCCCCCUAGUUUUUUCCUAAACUCUAUUAAGUCUGUUUUGCCUUUUCUGAUGGAUUUUUUGAAGAAAGAUUUUUGUUCAGUAUUUGUUAUUGUAAAUUCUCAUUGCUGCUGCUGUUCUCAAAAGGAUUGUAUAAAUGAGGGAGUGAAGCCAGCCAGUUUUGACAAAGUAGCAAUUCCUGAAGUGAAGGAAAUUAUUGAAGGAUGUAUCCGACAAAACAAAGAUGAAAGAUAUUCCAUCAAAGACCUUUUGAACCAUGCCUUUUUCCAGGAGGAAACAGGGGUACGGGUAGAAUUAGCAGAAGAAGAUGAUGGAGAAAAGAUAGCUAUCAAAUUAUGGCUACGUAUUGAAGAUAUUAAGAAAUUAAAGGGAAAAUACAAAGACAAUGAAGCUAUUGAGUUUUCCUUUGACUUGGAGAGGGAUGUACCAGAAGAUGUUGCUCAAGAAAUGGUCGAGUCUGGUUAUGUCUGUGAAGGUGAUCACAAGACCAUGGCUAAAGCUAUCAAAGAUAGGGUAUCAUUAAUUAAGAGAAAACGAGAGCAGCGGCAGUUGGUUCGAGAAGAACAA